rnacentral:rRNA from 1 species
AAUGAACGCUGGCGGCGUGCCUAAUACAUGCAAGUCGAGCGAACGGACGAGAAGCUUGCUUCUCUGAUGUUAGCGGCGGACGGGUGAGUAACACGUGGAUAACCUACCUAUAAGACUGGGAUAACUUCGGGAAACCGGAGCUAAUACCGGAUAAUAUUUUGAACCGCAUGGUUCAAAAGUAAAAGACGGUCUUGCUGUCACUUAUAGAUGGAUCCGCGCUGCAUUAGCUAGUUGGUAAGGUAACGGCUUACCAAGGCAACGAUGCAUAGCCGACCUGAGAGGGUGAUCGGCCACACGGGAACUGAGACACGGUCCAGACUCCUACGGGAGGCAGCAGUAGGGAAUCUUCCGCAAUGGGCGAAAGCCUGACGGAGCAACGCCGCGUGAGUGAUGAAGGUCUUCGGAUCGUAAAACUCUGUUAUUAGGGAAGAACAUAUGUGUAAGUAACUGUGCACAUCUUGACGGUACCUAAUCAGAAAGCCACGGCCAACUACGUG